CAAUAGCGUAUAUUAAAGUUGUUGCGGUAAAAAAGCUCGUAGUUGGAUUUCUGUUGAGAGCGACCGGUCCAUACCAUGUAUGCGUAUCUGGCUUGCUCUCGGCAUCCUCUCGAUAGACGUUACUGCGCUUGAUUGCGUGGUACGGAUCUCGGGACUUUUACUUUGAGGAAAUUAGAGUGUUCACGGCAGGCUUUCGCCAGAAUACAUUAGCAUGGAAUAAUACUAUAGGAUCUUGGUUCUAUUUUGUUGGUUUCUAGAAUUGAGAUAAUGAUUAAUAGGGACAAUUGGGGGCAUUCGUAUCAACACGUCAGAGGUGGAAUUCUUGGAUUGUGUUGCGACGAACUACUGCGAAAGCAUCUGCCAAGGAUGUUUUCAUUGA
rnacentral:rRNA from 1 species